rnacentral:rRNA from 1 species
AUGGAGAAACAGGGUAGUGAGGUAUUCACAUAUGAGGUGUUCGAGAAAUUUCAGCUACAGGUUAUUGCUGCUAGAGACCAUUGUUGUGUUCAGAGUAUUACACAAGGUGUGGGGGUACAAAAUGUGACCCUGAGAGGUCAAUCUGGUAAGAUUAGGGAGGUUUGCUAUGACAUUGGAAGCAUGACAGCAAAUUGUUCGUGCAAGUUAUUUGAGUCACUCGGUAUUCCAUGUCGCCAUAUUAUCCAAGUAUUGAGGAUUGAAAACCAAAAUGAGCUUCCUAGCUACUACAUUAUGAAAGAUGGCAGAAAAGGUGCAAAAGGGAGAAUGUUUAUGAUGAACAUGGGAACCUACUAG